GACGAACGCUGGCGGCGUGCUUAACACAUGCAAGUCGAACGGAAAGGCCCUGCUUUUUUGGGGUGCUCGAGUGGCGAACGGGUGAGUAACACGUGAGUAACCUGCCCUUGACUUUGGGAUAACUUCAUGAAACUGGGGCUAAUACCGGAUAGGAGCUCCUGCUGCAUGGUGGGGGUGGGAAAGUUUCGGCGGUUGGGGAUGGACUCGCGGCUUAUCAGCUUCUUGGUGGGGUAGUGGCUUACCAAGGCUUUGACGGGUAGCCGGCCUGCGAGGGUGACCGGCCACAUUGGGACUGAGAUACGGCCCAGACUCCUACGGGAGGCAGCAGUGGGGAAGAUUGCACAAUGGGCGGAAGCCUGAUGCAGCAACGCCGCGUGCGGGAUGACGGCCUUCGGGUUGUAAACCGCUUUCGCCUGUGACGAAGCGUGAGUGACGGUAAUGGGUAAAGAAGCACCGGCUAACUACGUG
rnacentral:rRNA from 1 species